rnacentral:rRNA from 1 species
GACGAACGCUGGCGGCGUGCUUAACACAUGCAAGUCGAACGGAAAGGCCCUGCUUUUGUGGGGUGCUCGAGUGGCGAACGGGUGAGUAACACGUGAGUAACCUGCCCUUGACUUUGGGAUAACUUCAGGAAACUGGGGCUAAUACCGGAUAGGAGCUCCUGCUGCAUGGUGGGGGUUGGAAAGUUUCGGCGGUUGGGGAUGGACUCGAGGCUUAUCAGCUGGUUGGUGAGGUAGUGGCUUACCAAGGCUUUGACGGGUAGCCGGCCUGGGAGGGGGACCGGCGACAUUGGGACUGAGAUACGGCCCAGACUCCUACGGGAGGCAGCAGGGGGGAAUAUUGCAGAAUGGGCGGAAGCCUGAUGCAGCAACGCCGCGUGCGGGAUGACGGCCUUCGGGUUGUAAACCGCUGUCGCCGGUGACGAAGCGUGAGUGACGGUAAUGGGUAAAGAAGCACCGGCUAACUACGUG